UACGUAGGGGGCAAGCGUUGUCCGGAUUUAUUGGGCGUAAAGAGCGUGUAGGCGGCCAAACAGGUCAGCUGUGAAAACUCGAGGCUCAACCUCGAGAUGUCGGCGGAAACCGUCUGGCUAGAGUCCGGAAGAGGAGAGUGGAAUUCCUGGUGUAGCGGUGAAAUGCGCAGAUAUCAGGAAGAACACCUAUGGCGAAGGCAGCUCUCUGGGACGGUACUGACGCUGAGACGCGAAAGCGUGGGGAGCGAACAGG
rnacentral:rRNA from 1 species